AUACGGAGGGUGCAAGCGUUGUCCGGAAUCAUUGGGUGUAAAGGGUGCGUAGGCGGGAGCCUAAGUCUGUGGUGAAAUCUUGCCGCUUAACGGUAAAAUUGCCAUGGAUACUGGGUUUCUUGAGUGUAGAAGAGGUCGGUGGAAUUCGUAGUGUAGCGGUGAAAUGCAUAGAUAUUACGAAGAACACCAGUGGCGAAGGCGGCCGACUAGGCUACAACUGACGCUGAGGCACGAAAGCGUGGGGAGCGAACAGGAUUAGAUACCCUGGUAGUCCACGCUGUAAACGAUGCAUACUAGGUGUCGGCAUGCGAGUGCCGGUGCUGCAGUUAACGCAUUAAGUAUGCCACCUGGGGAGUACGUCGGCAACGAUGAA
rnacentral:rRNA from 1 species